GUAUUAUCUAUGUCACUGCCCAAAAGUCAAAGAAAGAAUUGACAUUUGAACGGUGGGGGUUUGUUUAGAAAUUUUACUACAAAUUUACUGUUGAACAGUAAGUUUUAACAAAAUGAUUAAGAGACGUUUAUAUCUAAGCAUUCAAAGUCAACAACUUUAAUUUUGGUUCUUUAAACCAAGGAAAUAAGGCAAACAAUGAAAGGAAUUUAUUCGGAAAAAAAUCAUAAUUAGCCAUUCUUGAAUAUAAUUAUAUAAAGUACCUAGUAAAUCUAAGAUACUAAAAUGUAUUUAACACACAUUAUUAACUUGUCGUCGUACAAUAAACAAGGAUUUUAGAAAAACAAUGCAGCACCGCGGAAAGUAUAUGUAAAAAAUGUCAAAAAUCGCGAGAUAAAAAAAAAUCAUCUGUUGUUUGAUAUAAAAAUUAAUAAAAAUACUACAACAUUUGUAAGUAUUUUCCUUUUUCACUACUGAAUUCACAAAAGCUAAUCAACAACACUAUUACAAAACUAACUGAAUGACACCACAAUUUGAAUUUAGCGUUUGAAGUGAAACUUUUUUAGGGUUGUUGAGAGUAUGGGAUACUAUUUAGGAGGAGCGAGAGUGAGAAAAUAGACAGCAUAUUGUGAACCAUUCAACUGUGGAGAGAGGGAAGGAACAAAGUGAACUAAGUUCUUUCUCUUAUACACAGCAUUCCUUAUUACAAUAGGAAUUCAUUUAAGGAUGAAAAAUGAAGAAAACCAAAAUACUACACACCGCAAAAGAAGUUUCACGUCUUUCAAGUGCACCAAGUUGCAUGCAUGCAUUUUUUUUUGUUGUGUUGACAUAAAGAUCAUGAGUAUCUCAGAUUUCACUUUCAUAAAUCUCACUUUUUUAUAUAAAAAUCCAAAUUUUGCAGUUUUAUUAUUGCCCUUGUAGGCAGAUGAGCAUAUGGCUCACCUAAUAGUGAGCGGUUACCGUCGCCUAUUGACGUCAGCAAUGACAGGGGCAGAGUGUGUAACGCAAAUGCACCAUUUUUGUAUGAGAACGCCUGCUCAACCACACAAACGGCUUUUAUUUGCUGAACUUUUAUUUUCAUCACAUUCAUAAUAUAAGAGAUUAAUUUACAUUCAUUGUACAAUAUUAUUAUACGUCAUGAAUAUGAAUACCAAUAAUAUGAGUCACCUACAUUAAAUAUAUUUAUUUGUACAUAUGUGCUCAUAGUAAAAAUAUAUUUUAUUUUAUUAGUUUUAAAAUGGCAUAAUGCUGCACUUUAUUCUCUUUUUACCUUUUGUGCACAAGAUACGGACAAGUGCGAUGGAUUUUUUUUUAAAUUAAAACUAAAAAAUAAAAAAAAGAACCACAAGCAUGAGCUUAAAGCACAUCCCAAUUUUAACAUAUGAUUAACUUAAACUAUGGCCAAGUUUAAUAAAGUUUCUUCUUCUUUUUGUCGAAUACAAUUAAUUUUAAUGAUUAUUUUUAGUGCCCAUAGGUCAUGAUCCUAUUGUUGUUAAUUAAUUAAAUUGUGCCAAGGUGUCAGUGGAAAAAAUAUUUUUUUCAUAUACAUUUUUACAUUGUUUUGUUUUGUAGUGUGUAACCUCGUCAACAAUUUUUAAACUGAUCAUAAUUGCAAAUGAUUUUAAAUUGUUCAUUGAGUUUUAAAUUAUCGAGUGCAUGGUAGGCACUAUAAAAUUAAUUCUAUAGUAUUUAUGUACAAAAAUAAUAAAUAAAUUUUGUUGAAUUUUAAUUCUUAUAAAACCUAAAAAUUAAUUUUACUUCGAAUAAAAUUUUUACUGUGGGGAGAUCUCACAACUUUGCAAAAUAUGUAUAGUAAUGUACUUAAAAAUGUAAUUAAAAAUGAAAUGAAUGAUAUAUCCGAUACAUUUAGAAAUAACGCAAGGUAAUGCUUCCAAAACAAUGGCAAGCAGAUCAGACACAAAAAAGAAAGUUUUAUUCAAUUAAUAUUUUGAAUUAUAUUUCGUGCAUUACAGUAAUUCUAGUUUUUUAAAUGCCGAUGGGUAAUGCUAAAGUGACAACUCCAGAGUUAGUGUCCGUAUGUUUAGUAUGGAUCACUUAAAUGCAAAUGCACGUGCUUUAUCUUUGUGGCUGUAGCGAGUUGCCAUCACAGAAAACAAGAUAUGUGACAGAUGCCUGAAUCCCGCUAACGAAAUUUUCAAUAUAAGUUUGAAAAUGAAGUUUCGCACAACAAUAUUCGGACUGUCGGCUUACUAAGCAAUAUCACACACUCUGUGGAAGAUCUUCUCUUUGUCAUAACUCCCAAAUCACUCUUAAUCACAGAUUAUAAUUGUAGCCUAAUCAUAAAUUUUAAAACAUUUCUUCCACGUUAGAUUUGAUAAUCGUCUGCAUUAUGUACACUUGCAAUAACAUUUCAAAAAAUCUAUUAUUGAUCAGGACUCUUGGAAAAACAUUACCUAUUUUAAAGGCAUUUAAGUCCAAAGUCGUGACAGACCACAUAUAGGUAAUACUCCAAUAAACAGGUCCUUUUUAUAAACAGGUAGUACUGUAAAAAAAACCGAGACUUGUGUCUCAGGAUGGUUGAUGUCUAUGGGCUACAAUGACCUGUUAAAAUUAGGUGAGCUGUGGGCUCGUCCCGGUCCCAGUCCUGGUCGAAACAAAUCAGGCAAAUGAAAAGUCUACUGAAGCCAACCAUUUUCCGGUGAACCAUUUAGUGCCCAUUUUUGGACUCUGAUGGGAGAUAAUGUAGUGGUUUUAUUCUAGGCCCAAACCAUACUGUAAUUCAAUUAGCGUUAUGGAAACUUCUAUUGUAUACCUAAAAUGGUUUCAUUUUAGAAAAUGACUUCAGAAGAACACUUUCCAGUCAAAAUGAAAGACGCGAUCAGCAUAAAUCUAGAAAAUGAAGAAUUACAUUUAAAAACGAAACUGGAAGUCAAUAAUUAUGCUACUAGUGAAGGUCAAACUUCAGUAGCAUUUCAACAAAAUAAUGUUCAAGAUAUACGCACCCAAUGUAAUGAACAAUCUGUCCAAAACAAUCACCCUCAGGUAGACUGUAAUGAGACAAACGAUCAUGGAAGAAUUAAUAAUAUUGCCGAUAAUCAGACUUCGAUCGAAAUUAAAGAGAGCUCAAAUAUAGAAGAAGAAAAUAUAGAAGAUCAAUCAAUAAACCUUAGUAAUUAUGAUAAUCACGAGACAAAAACACAAAUAACAGAUGUACUAGGUGCGAACCAAGAUGAAAAUGCAUCUCAAAACAAAGAUUUAGGUAAAAUCAAUAUAAAAUCGUAUAUAGAAUUAGAAGGAAACACGAUUGGUUUACUAAAACAAGAAGAAAUACCGGCGUGUGUGAUUGAAGCGUGCGAGGAAUUAAAAAUGAACGAAAUAUCAACUGACGAUACUGAGAGCAAUGAUGUAGAUGACGAAAUAGUCACUGACGGUCCAGAAACGGAUCAAAUCGUUAAUCGAACGACAGAAGACGUUACACCAAUAAACACCUACACGCGGCACGAAGAGCUAAACCAAAAACUCAGCAUCAAAGUCGAAGGCGGUCAAAGUGAGAUGAGCGUGAACGCUGGCACUAGAGCUGAUGAAGCUGAUCUGCGUGAAGCCAACGUCGACAAUGUCAGUAAUGCCGACGCCACAGACGCCGGAAUAAAUGUGAAGACAGAACAUUUCACAUACGGCGAUUUCAAUAAGGACUGCCCAAAGAGCCAACUAGUUAUAAAACAAGAAUAUGACGAUAUAUAUUCCGAGGGUGUUUCUCAAAGCAGUGAUUGCUCUAUAAAGAUUUUGUCGGUUGGUACUUUGAAAGAUGAACUAAAGCGCCAAGAGUGCGGGAUUCCAGAUUACAGUGACGCAGUCAAACUGGAGGCUACCGGAGAUGACUUCACUUCGUUCGAUUAUCCUAAUUACGAUGACAGCAUGGACAGCAAUGAGGCUGCAGCUUUUUGUAGAGUCGAAACUUGUCUCCAAGAAGACGGACAAAGGAUCGAACGUAAUCAGAUUUAUGAUGAUAAACAAGACUUGUAUAGAGUAAUCAAGGAGGAGGAACACUUGACGGUGACCGACACACAUAUAAUUUCCAACAAGCUCACCAACACGUCAUUGUACGCAAACCCCUAUGAUGUGCUGAUAAAAAGUAAAAAAGGAUUAGUCAUGGAAAUACGACCUAUGUCCGGGCGAAAUUUCGGUAUGAAAUCCGGCAACCCAGAAGAGAUAUUGCCAACAAUCGACAAUUACGACGAUUACGAAGCUUUCCAAUUGAAUUCGAUCACCGGAGACGUUGCGUCUCUCGAGCAAGAAGCCUACGGUCUCCUGAAAGCUAAAACGAAGACGACACGCAGAAAAAAGCACGUUUGUCCGAAGUGCGGUAAUGCAUACGCAUCAGAAACAUGCCUGAAGAGGCACCUCAAAGUCCACGACACUAUUGAGAAGCAAACGAAAACUUCGGUGAAGAGACAAAAGGCUAAAAUCGAUAAUCAGAGUAAAAAAGUCGAUUCACUGAAAUCGAGCAUCGGCAAGAAGAAGAAAAACGCUGUCAUUGAAACUAAAGUGGAAAAAAUCGACAUAGAACCAAUCGCGGAGAAGAAGACGGACAAAGAAGGCUACGUGUGCAUCUGCGGCGACGUUUUCCGGCGCAGGAUUCGUAUGGAGACCUGCAUGAGGUCGCACAACACGGACCCCGACGUGAGUCACGUCAAGUGCACGACUUGCUCGAAGAACUUCAACAGCAAAGAGGAGUUGGCCUUCCACAGGAAACGAGUCCACAGGAAGCGGUUUCCUUGCAAGUUCUGCCCCACGGACUACGACACCGGGAAAGACCUAUUCGAACACCUGAAAAUCCACCGGCAAGUUCAACUGACCGAGUUCAAGGUUAUAUCGGAGAUGGUCAACGGUAAGGAGAUAUUAAAGUGUUUUAUGUGCAAUAACUCUUUUAAGGAGCUACCUCAGCUGAAGUGUCACGUGAUGGAAGAUCACGUAGAGCCCUACUCGUGUAGGUACUGCAGAGCGGCGAUCCCUAAUAUUAUCGACUUCGCGAAACACAUUAAAUCGUUUCAUCCCGAAGUUGAAGGUCAGUCACUCCUGGACGUUCUCGAGGCCUUCUCCAAAUUGGUGCAAGCUUGGAAAUGUGAGGAAUGCGGCAUGCAGUUCCACGAAGCAGAUAAACUGGCUCUGCAUCAGGCGGAGACUCACAACCCAGACUUAAGAGAGCAACUUCAGAUACAAUGUGAAGAUUGCCGGAGAGUGUUUGUCAGUCACAAGGGCCUACAGUCUCACAGGAGAGUGCAUCACAGCGUCGAAGUCGAGUCCGCGCCGCCUGAGGAGGCCGGGGUCAUGUGUGUGGAGUGCCGCAAGAUGUGCAAGGACAUGGAGGCGCUGACGUCCCACAUGAGGCUGCAUUCGCCCGAGAGGAAAUUUCCCUGCAAGUUCUGUGAUUUCCGCUUCGCCACCGCGGAAAAGAGGAGAGUCCACCAGGAGCUACACACUGGCGACAUGAAGUACGUCUGCUUUAUAUGCGAGUACCAGUGCACGUCGGAGAACCGGUUGAAACUGCACAAACGAUCAGCCAAACACCAGAGCAUGAAGGAGUACCUGCUGUCUGGGGCCUCGCUGACCGAGGAGAAGCCCGCAGCGAGCGAAGAAAGGAAAAACAAGAAAGAGACAAGAUUCAAAAAGAGGAAGAAAGAAAGAGAUAGAAGCGCGGGCAGUGGGUCCUCCGGGAGCUCCGUGCUGUGCGAUGUGUGUGGUGACAAGUUUCCCAGCAAGAGCCUGAUGCUGGAACACAAACAGUCGCAUCCCUUCAUAGAGUUCCCCAACGAAGACAAACCCACUAGGAUAUUCUUCAAAUAUCAUUAAACUUGAACGAAUGCAACAUUUGUAUAGUAGAGUAAGAUCCCAGGGCCACCAGAUGUCUCGUAUUUUCUGACGAACGAAAUGUGGCCGAUUGCGUAGUGAAGUUAGGUAAUUACUUUGGGAGCUUUAAAGCGUCUGCAAAGCAAUUCGGCCGACGGAAAGUGUCUGGGAGUAUUGGCGACAUAUUUUUAAGGAUAUUGCCUAAAAUAUACGUAAAAAUCAGCUUUCAGAAUUUACGUGAAGUACGUAAUGGUUUUAUGUACCUUGAGUACCUGAUACCUGAAAAUUGGCCGUCUAAGCAAGCUAGCAGGUAGGCAUGCGUUUUUAGUACAUACUAACACUACGCAAUCGGCCACAUUUCGUUCGUCAGAAAAUACUUGACGUCUGGUGGCCCUGGGAUCUUGGACUAUAGUGUGAUAUAAUAUUAUUGUAAAUAUUAAAAAAAUAACAACGUUAAAAUCUUGCCUAUACCUGAAAAUGUACAAAUUGUUUUAAGAUUAUUCCGGUAAAGAAAUCCCUUUGUAUAUUGAAUACGUUGAAGCGUUAAUUCUAAAUCACGGAUGCCUGUCUGGUUUAUUAAUUAGAAAUGUACUAACCGUGUACUUUGUUAUAAAUGUUAUGUUGUAAUUUACUAUGUAAACAUAUUCUAAAGUGUUACUUAAUAUAAUAUUUAUGACUCACAGAUUAUAUUUUCAUAGACAAUACUCGUUGUGCUUUGGUAAAAACUGCCUUUUAUACUAACCCCGGGCUCGGAAUGUACGCUGUAUAGACUUUGGUUUAUAAUAUUAAAAAAAAAAAGAGUUGCUUUUAGAUUUUAAAAAGUAGUUAUAAUUAUUUUGAACGUUAUAAAGCACUUAAAAAAGCAGCGACAUAAGUGCUAAUAAUAUUAUUGGUAUGAUUUCGAAAUGAGUGACAUUUUUCAAAUUUUUUUUAGCACUAUUUUUUCCUGCGAUAUUUUAUUUCCCUCAAAUAAAAGUACUAUAUUGAAUACAACUCUAUGACGUGUGACGCCAUUUGUAGAUAGGUUACAUUAUAUAAACAUACACGUACGAUAUACGACAUCUUGAUUUGCGAUAACGUGGCGAUUGUUAAAACAAAAGUCAUUAAUAUUUCACAGAGUAGUGUUUGGUGAUCUUUUUAAUUUCAUUGAAAUUCCUUUUAAUUACUCUUUAGAUUUUCAUACUAUUCCUGUUCGGAGAUUCUCUGAGCCUCUCAGUUAAAACUGAUUUUACUUAAAAACCAUAGACUUUAUUUUCAUAAGUUCAAAAUAUUACAAUCGUUUGCCUAUAGUUUUGUCAAUACGGAAUUUAAAAAAAAACUGUUUUAUUGUAUUUCAAUAAACGCGCUCAAAAUUUUUGAUUGACUCAAAAAGCAUGAAUCAUUGUAUAAGCCGCGCCAAUAAAGAAACGAAUCGAAAAUGGCGUCUAUGUAUCUGCACUGACAGAUGGUAGGGUCAACAAAUAAAAAGAUUAUUGUUGUGGUUUAUUAUAAAAAAAUGUAAAAAACAAAUGAGAAUCUACUUUAUUUCACUUUAUGCCCUGGCAGAGGGGAAGGUAUCCCAUCUGGGAUGCAACUUGCGUAGACACUUGCUGCCAGUCAUCUAAGUCGCACAACUCGAAAGUAAAAAAACUCGAACUCAACAACAAAGUCAGAACUGAUAUUUUUUUGCGUGCAGUACGCGCCGUGUGCGACUAAAGACAGCAAUAGCUUAGAACGGGAGCGCAUAAUCGCCGCCGCCAUUUUAGAUUCGUUUCUUUAUUGGCGCGGCUUAUAAUAACUUAAUACAUUACUCGUAAAGUUCUGCUUUUUUUUGAACUAAUAAUUAUUUUUUUACAAAUACUUUUUCGAAUAUACUUGUGUGCCAUCUAACCAAGGUCUGUGGUCGAUAUGUCAUAUUAGAGCUAGGGUUAUUUAUUGUAAUUUAUCCUAACCCUAUCGAAUAUGGCCGUUUAUGAUGAACUAUGUUUAUUGUCUAUGCCACUAAACAAAGUAGGUUUGUCGCUUGCGUUUGUUUUUUAGUCUUUCAAUUGGGACAUUUUCCCCAAAGAUGUUAUUUAAUCAAGCGUGUACAAAAAUGAGUAAGAUGAAACAUUUGGUUGUGGCCCACCUAGAUAUAUUAAAAAAGGAUGGAAAUAGUAUUUUAUGACGUCACUUGAGUCGCAGGCUCCACAGCGUGUUGCAGCUGCCACUAUUUUUAUUUAUUAUUAAAAGAAAAACCUUCGAUUGAUUUUCCGAAAAGUUUUUUUUAACUUCAUUUAAAUAAAAUAAUUAUCUUACCCGUCAGGUGUUAAAUAAUCUACUCAAUCGAACAGGUGAUGUGAUUAAAGUUUUUGAUAAACGCAGUGGUUAUUCCGGGGAAUGUCUGUCGUUUUAUCGGUCUCAUUGUGAUAUCAUUGCAAUAAUUCAGUACGUUAUGUAAGUACUUAAGGAGCGGUCUCUUAAUAUUUAAGAUUAAAAUUUGUAAAUAGAAACAUUUUUAGUGUAUGUUAUGAUUAACAUAAAUAUUAAAAGGUGUUUUUCAA